AUUUUUGUGGGCAUCUAACGCCAAUGUAUAACUACCCCUGAUCUAUUGAGCCCUUUUCAAAAGCGGCCGUCAACACCGCGGUAGACAGAAAAUGGUUUUAGCCUCCACCAUGGACAUGGUGCUUCUAAUUUUCACCGGCGACAUGUACAACGGAGCGGUCAAAUUCUUGGGCCGCCUAUGGUGAAGCCGUCUAUCAGGCUGUCCGUCAAGAAUCUAUACAUCCAUGCAUGGCCAUCGUGUGAGCUUUAACCACGAAGAGAGACGGCCAAACUGCACGCUGUACGUAGACAUGCUCCAACAUCGUUGGCAACCUGACAUCGGCGUCCUCGUUUGCCACUAUCUACUUGUCCUCGCCGCCAUGCGGCCAACCGGCCCGUCGUCAAUACCUAUUAUAUGAUGCAAGCAUGGCAUCACAUCUGCAUCAGACGCAUGCAUGACAUGUAGUACAAUACUGAUCGACUAUUUAAUCCAUCUACACUACGAUUGUUGAUAGAAUAACACUUUUAUGUGUAGUCACU